rnacentral:rRNA from 1 species
AUUGAACGCUGGCGGCAUGCUUUACACAUGCAAGUCGAACGGUAGAGGGGGCAACCCCUUGAGAGUGGCGAACGGGUGAGUAAUGCAUCGGAACGUGCCCAGUCGUGGGGGAUAACGCAGCGAAAGCUGUGCUAAUACCGCAUACGAUCUCUGGAUGAAAGCGGGGGACCGAAAGGCCUCGCGCGAUUGGAGCGGCCGAUGUCAGAUUAGGUAGUUGGUGGGGUAAAGGCCCACCAAGCCAACGAUCUGUAGCUGGUCUGAGAGGACGACCAGCCACACUGGGACUGAGACACGGCCCAGACUCCUACGGGAGGCAGCAGUGGGGAAUUUUGGACAAUGGGCGAAAGCCUGAUCCAGCAAUGCCGCGUGCAGGAAGAAGGCCUUCGGGUUGUAAACUGCUUUUGUACGGAACGAAAAGGCUCUGGUUAAUACCUGGGGCACAUGACGGUACCGUAAGAAUAAGCACCGGCUAACUACGUGCCAGCAGCCGCCGUAACAC